UGCCCACACUUGUCCAACCCGUCAUUUCAGCUUACCGCCCAAAUCCGUGGCGCGCUCUAUCCAUUGUCAGACGUUACCUACAGAGAAAAGGUGCGAUAAAAAUCUGGUCACCGGCUUGUAACCACAACGAUGGUACCCCGGUCGCAAGACUCUACACACGUGCCGCGUUUAGACAUCGUACGGCGUCCGGUCGCGAAGGAAUGGGUCGGGGUAGUACAGCCGACGUGGCGGCGAAAUUUUAACGAGGGCCGUAAACCUGGUCCGGGACAAGCGGUGGAGACUCGGCGGGCGCUCGUGCCUGUUCGCCCGACGAAGUUAGGCGCUACCGCCGCUAUCCGUGCCGUGAUCAGCAUGCACCUUUCCUGGUCCGAGGCUCUUCAGAAUGUUUUAAGAUCGCGAAUCGAUGACAACUUCUCACGACAGGGACCACGAAGCUCUAGUUCCGGGUGAGUUCGUGACUGGAUGAAACAACAUCAUGGCGGAUUCCAGCGAUGAUUCCUCAAUUCUCAUCACAACUUAUCCAUGAAGAUUCUGCCAGAACUUGGACGACAAAGAUGCCUGUCAAAGGCAAUACAACCUGAAACAACCCAUCCAGACAAGACAUAGAAGAAAACAUGCACAGAAAGCAGCAUGAAGAUUGAAGAGGACAAUCACCGCCCC